GGGGAUUUGGCUCAGUGGUAGAGUGCUUGCCUAGCAAGCGCAAGGCCCUGGGUUCAGUCCCCA
rfam:Rattus norvegicus chromosome 1, whole genome shotgun sequence.